rnacentral:sRNA from 1 species
AAGGAUCAUUGAACAUGUCAGUCCAUACCGGUCACGGAGUGUCCCCCGGGCCAACCGCGAGGAAGGCUUCCUCGCGGGAGGGCAAGGAGCGGGCUGUCUGGGGCGUGGAGCUUGUCCGCUUAUAUUCAAAGCGGUUGGGCUUUUACCCCGGACGUGAGACCGAGACAGCCUUGCGGGCCGGGCUCGCCGCAGGCGCGGCAGCCCUGUCGGCCCUGUCCGACCCUUCAAUCCAGGAGCUGAAGCUUUUGACCAGUCCGCGAGGCCGCUUCAACAAGCGUGGAGCGGCACGGCCGGACUGCCAACGGAACACAACUCUCAACAACGGAUAUCUUGGCUCCCGCACCGAUGAAGAACGCAGCGAAAUGCGAUACCUAGUGUGAAUUGCAGAAUCAUGUGAAUCAUCGAGUCUUUGAACGCAAAUUGCGCCCAAGGUCUAGGCCAAGGGCAUAGCUGGCUCAGCGUCGAUGCACUCCCUCGCUUCCCAUGCGGAGGCGGACGUGGUUCUCCCGGGACGACGGAUCGGGUGGACUGAAGAUAAGACGGCUUCCUGAGAUCCCUCAUGGGCAGACUCCGGCAGCACGGUAAGCGACCCUCCUCGGUUGUUUUGCCUACCUGUCUAGGGGACUGUCUUUGGGCGUCUGAGGGGCUGGGUAAUGCAGGAACCAGCAGCAGCUGGCGACAUCAAACUUCGACCUGAGCUCAGGUAAGAGCACCCGCUGAACUUAA